rnacentral:rRNA from 1 species
GACGAACGCUGGCGGCGCGCUUAACACAUGCAAGUCGAGCGAUGAAAUCUUGACAGAACCCUUCGGGGUGAAGAUAAGAUGGAUUAGCGGCGGACGGGUGAGUAACACGUGAGUAACCUGCCUUAGACAUUGGGAUAGCCUCGGGAAACCGGGAUUAAUACCAAAUGAAAUCACAUAUGCACAUGCAUAAAUGAUCAAAGCUCAGGCGGUCUAAGAUGGACUCGCGUCCCAUUAGCUAGUUGGUGAGGUAACGGCCCACCAAGGCGACGAUGGGUAGCCGGCCUGAGAGGGCGAACGGCCACAUUGGAACUGAGAAACGGUCCAAACUCCUACGGGAGGCAGCAGUGGGGAAUAUUGCACAAUGGAGGGAACUCUGAUGCAGCGACGCCGCGUGAACGAAGAAGGCUUUCGAGUCGUAAAGUUCUUUUAUAUGGGAAGAUAAUGACGGUACCAUAAGAAAAAGCCCCGGCUAACUACGUGCCAGCAGCCGCGGUAAUACGUAGGGGGCUAGCGUUGUCCGGAAUCACUGGGCGUAAAGGGUUCGCAGGCGGAAAUGCAAGUCAGGUGUAAAAGGCAGUAGCUUAACUACUGUAAGCAUUUGAAACUGCAUAUCUUGAGAAGAGUAGAGGUAAGUGGAAUUUUUAGUGUAGCGGUGAAAUGCGUAGAUAUUAAAAAGAAUACCGGUGGCGAAGGCGACUUACUGGGCUCAUUCUGACGCUGAGGAACGAAAGCGUGGGUAGCAAACAGG